AUCACCCAUUCUACCCGCUCCAAAACUCUUUCUCUUCCUCACCACACCAGCAAAACCACCACAACACCCCUCGCACUACGCGCGCCGCCGCCGCCGCUAGCACUGGUGAGACGAGUACGGAGGAGCAGCACAGGGAUGGACGGCGGCCUCGAGGAUGAGCAGGAGGACCCAAGCUUCCUCAAACCACCACAGCACCCCUCGCACUACGGGCACCGCCACUGCUGUCGCUUUCAGCGUCGGUAAGACGAGUAGGGAGGGGCAAUGCAGGGAUGGACGGUGGCCUGGACGGCGAGUUGGAAGACGCGGGCUUCCUCGACGAGGUAUUACGCGCGACGGACGAGGUCAUCGCCUCCCGCAACCCUAACCCCGCUCCCGCUCCCGCUCCCAUCCCCAUGUUUGACUCCUUCGUCAUUGUCCCCGUCUGAGAGCCUCCUAUCUUCCCACCGAUUCGAUCUCCCACCUCCCCGUCGCUUCGUAGCCCCGCUUCACGAUCAGCUUCUCCCCUCCGCUAAUGGAAUGAGUAUUUUUACCGGUUAAAGUUUGGUUAAUGAAGGAAUAGAAAAUGGGGUUGUGCAAUUUCAAGACUCAGGUGUCCAUGGAUUGGAGAAAUUUCCAUUUAGAUGACCCAUCAACAUCCUACAUUGCCUGGUGAUCACACCUGUGUCACCUGUAUGAAUGUUGGUGGGUUCGACUUGCAAUGUUGUUACAACCUGACUUGACUAAUGCUCUUACUCAUGCUUACAAGUAAUUUGUUUCAUUGGGUUUUGCAUGACGUCUAAUAGAAUAUGUUAUUCUGUAUUCAUUGUAUUAGUAUGUUGCAAGGGGUCAUAAUAAAUCGGGUAGCGGUAAAAUAUUGUAUGACUACAAGAUUGGCGUCUUGAGUGCAUUAUGUUAUAAUUUAAAGUUCAUAUUUCCAACCAAAGCAAAAAUAGUUUAUGAAGCAUAAUAGUUUUUCCAAUACUAAAUUCUUGAGUGGCAUAUGUGAAAGUACUAUAGCUAAGACGCGAUGAAGUAUGGAUCAGUGUUUAUUUAAUCAUUUACGAUGAGAUGUUAUUUGUAGUGUUAGUUAUUCAUCUUCAGGUUGAUUCUGUACCUAACUGAUAUAUGUCUGUGUGUUUUCAGAAACCCCUCAUAUGCAAAAGCUUAAUACUGUCAAGGCUGCUACAGUGGUCAUAGGUUAGAAUAAAUCCAUGGUAAACUUGAACCCCUACAAACUAAAGAAAAUGCCAGAAUAGAGAAAGUUUAAGCCUAGAGAUAAGUGAGUCAAAUCCAUAAAAUUGGCAAGUCAAAUCAUCAGUAUGAAAUGUACCAAGGCAUAUUGGGUGUAGAACUAUCAAAGGUACCUAAUAUGUUUUGUGUAAGUAUAAAAGAAAUUCUGGUAGAGGAUAACAAGAAACAUCAAGCAUUGAGGCCAAGGAUGAACUAAUAUGAUGGGCAUCUAUUUUAAGAAGCUCGAUUUUCAGACAUCAACUAUCAGUUCUAGGAUACAGAAGACUCUGAAAGGCCGCAAGAAGGUAUCAACGACAUAUCUGAUAACUAAAUAUAUGCACCAACUGUAGGAAAAUAGUAAAGGAAGGCCCUAAAUGCCCAAAAUUGGCCACAAUAUUUCACCGUCAGGUCUACCUACUCUGUUAUAGUACUGUCCACACUCAACAGCCGAUCUUUGACUGCUUUAGUUGCCCCUCCUGUUAGUUUAACAAUUCUGUUGAGUGUUGACUCCUUCCAUGAAUUGGUCACCUAGAAAAGGUAGUAAACAUGUGAAUGAGUGGGUUGAAGAGGAUGAUAAUUACCUCAAUUAUAUUUCUGCUUUCAUAACUUAGUUUACUACUUUGUAUUAGGUCAACUUUCAGCCUCUGUUAACAACACAAUUGACCAAGAGCGGGGAUGAGUAGAAGAGGAUGAUCCUGGUGUGUAUAUUACUGUUCGAGCAUUGCAUGGUAGCAUCAGAGAACUACGUAACGACGAGGCUGAGCGACAAUUCCAGUGUCCCAAUGUGUGACCCGAGUUCAACUCCUCUUUCGUCGACCUCGAGAUCCCAGGUACUAUGACACACAGCUACCUUCUCGCAACGUGAUGUGGGAUGAAUUUUGACCUGUAGGUUGAAUAAGUGAAGUGGAUGAGUCAGAAAGUGGAGGAGACAGUGUGCAGGAGCAGCCUGUUUAUGUGGCCGUAGUGGAUCUCGCAUCCUGUUUGUGAGCUUGGUAUUCCUCCUGAAAACAUCACUGCAAACCAAUUGUUAUUUGGCACAUUGGGGGAGUACGCCGGAUUUGAUCCCACAGAGCCCACUUCACGCAGUGGGGGUAAAGCAAAAGCAGUGCAGCAAAUAAAACAGACAAUUGUUACGAUUAGUGAUGGCGCAACUGAUCUGGAGGCUCGGCAACCUGGCGGAGCAGACUGUGUGCCGCCAGAGCUAGCGGAGGGAGGCGGGUCAUUCGAUUUGCCAUGCUUAGGAUUGGAGAAUCACUAGAGUAAUAGUAUAUACAUGGUGGGGAGUGAAACCAACAGAGGAAGAAUCCGUUCUUGAUCAAAAUUAGUCGGCUGCUUGGUUCGUCGUCUGCGUGUUCGAUCGGAGGUUGGCGACGCCUUGGCGUGGCCGCUUUCCGCAAGAAAGCAAGGAAAUUGGUCGGCUUCUGCGCUACCAGUCCGGUCCACUUCGUUCACCUUUCCCUUUCGGUGCCACCAACAUCUAACUGUACAUGCAUGCUUGCUUAGUGCUGACCGCCGCUAAUGCGCUGGAUAUUUCUGGGAGUGGAAACGAAAGUGUACUCUGAAUUUCAAGUUCCUGUCAAAAGUAAGAUCCUCUGACGAAGGUGUGGUUGUGAUCAUGCAUAAACUAACUGUUGCUGCCACAUGGAUCGGAGAGGGAGAUCGAUCCACAGAAGAUGGUAUCAUUUGUCAAGUGUAUGUUGGGACUUGAUGCUGUUGUUUGGGACAUUAUUGGGUCGUCAUUGUUGGAGAAAGUUGUGUAUCUACUUACAGAAUUGGAUGUUAAUAUAACAUGGGAAGAUAUUCUUCAAGAUAAACACAACAAAGGUAUAUUUGACAUGGAGCUUGAGGAUUUGGCUGAGGAUGAACAUAACCUUGGCCGCACAAGUGUGGAGACUUGAAUUCAUAUAUACUUAGUUAGGCUCAAUGUUAGCAUAAACAGUUGAUGAACAAGUUUUCCCAUUAGUAUUUUAGUUUGAAUUUAGAGUACAAUUAUGUAUGAGUUAUUUGACAAUGCUUAUUUAUGAGAUAUUGAAUGAUAUUUAUCUAUAUUGUAUUAAUUAUAGUGUUAUUAAAUA